ACGGAAUUCGUGUGUAUUUAUUUGAAUUUAUGAAAUCUGUCCGUGCAAAAUGUCCCACAGAGUGAGAGUGAAAUUAAAAACCCUCCAAUCAAUGUUCAAGAAGAAGAAAUCAUUUUGAAAUUCAACACAGUUAGCAAAAUUUAAUAUGACAGAUACCCGGCAAUGCAUUGGAUUCGGUGACGUGGAAAGAUUUUUGGCCAAAAGUUACAACUGCAUUACUGGCGGACGUCAGAUCGACAUCGAAAAAUAUGGACCCUACGUCGACGCCGUUAGGGACGUCUUUGUCCCCAGCCUUGACAAG
rnacentral:misc_RNA from 1 species